UAUUAAUAAAAAAUCAAAUUCGUUUUUAUUUUUUAUUAAUUUAUAUAUUUAAUUUAUUAAGAGUAUAAUUGAUAUUAACCACUCUAAUUUUUAACGUGAGAGUUCCGUUAUAAAAAUUUACUUUUGCAAAUAAUAGUAUAUAUAUUCAUAUCAGGAACGUCACAAGCUAGAUGUUUGUUGUACUUUCGAGUUUCGACUGACGAUCUUCUUUGUAACAUGCAAACACGCCUCUAUUUGCGUGCGUGACAGAACCUUAUACCUUUACUUAGACUUACGUGGACUACUUCCCAAUGAGAAAAUCUCAAUUAUCCUUUCUUCUUUCUAAGGAGUAUAAGUUUAUAUAAAUUAUUUCUGUUAAUUUAUGUUAAAAUAUGUAUGCCAAAAUUUGUCAGUUUAUUUGUUUGUUUCUGCUGUGGAAAUCUUCUCUUGCCUUCCCGAAUCUAGCCCCGAAUCUAGCAAAAGUUAAUUAUUUGGUAUAUAUACUGAGUUUAUGAUUAUUUUAAAAUAUAUGAUGAUUUAACUUUUUAAAAAAAAGUUUAUGAUGUAAUAUAACUAAAACUCUUCUAACAAAUAGCAUGACAUAAUUAAACAAAAUUAGUAUUAGAUAUAACGUAUAACCAAAGUUCAAAAAAAAAAAUAUAUAUAUAUAAUGUAUAACCACAUUGCUAUAUCAGUUCGAAAAAACCCACAUUGCUAUAAAUACAGCACUAGACUAAGGUUCUUUCAAGAGAAAUUGCACUGUAUAGCACAAAAUAAAAUUAUAAUUCACUCUCUUACGGAUUGACCUAACUUACACUGAUACAACUUAUAUUAUAUGUAAUAAUGCAUAUUUACCCUUUCAUUCAGCCGGUUCCACCUGCAAAAGAAAAUAAAAAUAAAUUAAUAUUAGUUGUUGUCUAAAGUAAAACGUGGCUUUUCUCUUGUCACAAACUUCUCAAAAUAAUUUUUUAAUAGGUAAAAACUUAGAAGGUAAAUAGUUUUCUUCUCUGUUUUUGAACGACUACGAAAGCACCAACUUCAUUCAUGGAGAAGUUUUUUGGAGGAGCAAAAAUUUUGCAGCCUUUGCCGGUGAUUUAGUUGAAAACUUCAACUUCGCCGAUUCAGAAUUUAAUAGUUGCGAUGACGGCAUAACGAUAAGGUGGAACAACUCUUCCCAGUUCGACUUAAUAGAAGCUUAUUGAACUAAUAACAUCAGAGGUUCCCGAUUCGCCUUCAUAUAUCCAUAUUUCAGAAGAGAAUUUCAAGCCCAUGAGUGUCUGUUGGUGGUGAAAAAUAACGAUGGUAUACCGGUGAAUGCAUGUCGCCAUGUCUGAAAAAAAUAAAAGCUGAUAGAAAGAUCAAAGAAGAUGACUGGUGCUUGUUCUAUUCCAUUAUAGAUAUACAGAAUAGAUUUGUAGCAUGAUAUGUAUUAUGUUUCCUAUUACUUCACAUGUAACAUUGACACUACCACUGGUUGUUUUCAUUAAUGUCAUCAUCCUCUCCUC